rnacentral:rRNA from 1 species
ACCUGUGAUAGCACGUUAAAAUGCACCAAUUCUCAAUGGAUCACUAAAGUUGAGCAACGUUGCGUAUGGUUAGUAUCCGGAUGGGUGACAAUCUGGGCAAUCGCGUGCAAUUGGUU